ensembl:snRNA U6 U6 spliceosomal RNA
GCGCUCACGUUGGCAGCGCAUAUACUAAAAUUGGAACAAUACAGAGAAGAUUAGCAUGGCUCUGUGCAAGGAAGAUACACUACUCCGUGGAGCAUUCCAUUAAAAA